rnacentral:rRNA from 1 species
CCUGCCCACUGAAUAAUUUUAAAUGGCCGCAGUAUUCUAACUGUGCAAAGGUAGCAUAAUCAUUAGUCUUUUAAUUGAAGGCUGGUAUGAACGGUUGGACGAAGUAUAAGCUGUUUCAUAUAAAAUUUAAUUAGAAUUUUAUUUUUUAGUAAAAAAGCUAAAAUUUUAUUAAAAGACGAGAAGACCCUAUAAAUCUUUAUAUUAUAUUAUAUUUAAAUUUUUUUGAUUUAUUUUAUUUUUAUAAAAUAUAUUAUUUUGUUGGGGUGAUAUUAAAAUUUAAUGAACUUUUAAUUAUUUUUAAAUCAUUAAUUUAUGAAUUAUUGAUCCAUUAUUAGUGAUUAUAAGAUUAAGUUACUUUAGGGAUAACAGCGUAAUUUUUUUUGAGAGUUCAUAUCGACAAAAAAGUUUGCGACCUCGAUGUUGGAUUAAGAUAUAUUUUUAGGUGUAGCCGCUUAAAUAUUAAGUCUGUUCGACUUUUAGAUUCUU